GUCCUACUAGACUAGACAAGGCCCUCACUCAGCUAUUCCCAGCCAGCCACGGUGCUCAGGGUAGACCGCAGCACGCAUGGUGGACAGAGGGACAGAGGAUGAACGGAGAAGCACAGGGCUGGCUGCUGGGGACCUGGCAGAUGCUUCCUAUCCCUGCUGGCUGGUGACAUCACCGCUGUGACGUCACACUCUGGCUUCCUGGGCUUUGGGAGUGCUGGUUCUGGUGAUAACCACUUCCUGCUCCCGGCCAGGGUGACUCAGGACUUCCUUCUGCUCCCGGAGUCAUCACUGAGCCUGGCUCUCCUGUAUCCUCAUCUAGGGAGACCUUCUUUCUGCAGAGUGGGGCCUCCACAGUCUGCACAGCUCGGCUCCCCAUUCUCUCGUGAAGGUAGGCCAGGAACUGGGUUUCCUAAUGAGUGACCAGGAAAACGGAACUUUCAAGGGGCGUGUCUGUUUAAUGAGGAAUCAGCCUGAAUGGAAGCCAACCCAGUGCCUUUCCAGGUACAAGCUGUUGUCAUGAAGCCUGGAGUUUUUCCGAGAUGCCAGAGGCAGCAGCGCAGUGCUCUUGUUUCUCAUCUAAACCUGUCCCUUUCUCAGAACAGAGCCCGCGUGUGUGAUUCCUUCGUGGUCCCAGAGCGGGUCAUCUUGCUUGCAGGGUAGCCUUGGGGCACCACUGCUUGUCAGGGUUGAGCAGAAAGGCAGACCAGAAUCCUCUGAGUCCCCCUCCCACUUCCAGCUGGUUGACUGACAUUCCACCCGACCAGAAGGAACCAGAGGAGGAAGAAGGCCUGAGAAACUGGAGGGAGGCUGCUCAGGCGGUUCUGUAGAAUGUUCUAGAAUACCUAGAAAAAAAAAAAUAAAGCACCCAACAGGCUGAAGCAAGGAAAUUACUGUAGGUAGUGAGUUCUUGGCCAGCAUGGGCUACAUGGGUGUAACUCUGCAUAGAAUAACCAACCAACCAACCAACCACCAAGGCUGGAAAACUGGCUUGGCAGUUAAGGGCAAGUCCUGCUCUUGGAGAGGACCCAAGUUUAGUGCCCAGCAUCUACACCGGGUGGUUCACAACCACCUGCAUCUCUGGAGAACACAAAAACUUCUUUUUCGUGUGUGGUUUUGUUUGUUUGCUUGUUUGAGACAGGGUCUCCUUGUAGCCCACCUGUACUGGAAUUCACUCUGUAGACCAAGCUGGUCUAGAACUCAGAUUUGCCAGCCUCCUGAGUGCUGGGAUUAAAGGCAUGCGCCAGCACUGCCCAGCUUCGACAAUGUCUUUUGGCCUCCAUGAAUACUUUAAGUCAUAUGUGUGCACACACGAGAACACAUGUGCUCUUGCACAUACACACUCACACACACCAAUAAAAAUCUUAAC
rnacentral:lncRNA from 1 species